rnacentral:lncRNA from 1 species
AAUUGUAAGUACAUGUUUAAAAACAUAUAUUUAUAAAAUAAAAAAAAAAAAAAUUAACACUUUAAGAAUUUGUUUAUAUUUAAUUUAUUAUAAAGAUAUAAUGUCACGUGUAGUAAAUUCUUAUAAAAACAAAGACACGCGGGAUGUUGCUGGGAUUAUGCACAUGAAUAAUAAUAGAGAUAACAAUUCAAUAGCAUCGAAAGAAGAAAAAGAAAAUGAUGAAAGUAUAGCCAAAUUAUAUGAAGAGAACAAAAUUAAUAAAUCAAUGUUAAUUAAAUAUAUGGAAAGAAAACAGAAAACUGCAUGUAGAGGGAAAAUACAUUUAUUAGUUCUAUUGUCUUCCCCAAUUUGGAUUUAUUAUAUGUUGUGUUUAUCGAAAACUACAAAAGCUAAAAUAUUUACAUUAGUUGCUAUGUCAUGUAUACUAUUUAAUGCCUUUGCUUCUUUUUUAUAUCAUCAGUUUGAAUGGACACCUAAAAGUUUUUUUUUAUUAGAAAAAAUGGAUCAUAUUGGUAUAUUUUUAAUGAUAAGUUAUUCAACUAUACCAGUACCAGCACUAUUAUUCAACCCAGUGAAAUUAUCAAUAUAUAUAGGAUUACAAUUGUUAAUGGUACUUUUUGGAAGUUUUUUUAUUUGCUUUAGUACAUUUUCCUCUGGGAGUAGAGCUUUAAGAACAUCUGUAUUUGUAUUUGCAGGUUUCUUACAUGCAUUAUUUAUUAAAGAUUUGGUAACCUUUUUAAACUUGGACGAAUUCGUGUUUUUAAUUAUGCUUGCUGUUUUUUAUAUUAUAGGAGCUGUGAUAUAUUCUAGAAAAAAGCCUAACUUGAUAUCAGGUUUCCUAGAGUUUCAUGAUAUUUUUCACAUUUGUUGUUUAGGAAGCUCUAUCUGCACAUUUGCCUUAAACGCAAGUGUUUUAAAAAGAAAAACAUAAAAACAUUUGUUAUGAUAUAGCAUUGUAAUUACCAGCUUAUUUUAAAAUAUAAUUCUUUUUCUUUUUAAACUUUUUGUAAUUUUUGUUUUUUUUUUUUUCUUUAAAUGUAUAGGAUAAACAUAUGAAUGUAUAUGUUAAAAGAGUUUUGUAAAUGCUCACACUCAUGUAUGUUCUAUGUGACAUCCUGUAUGUACAUAUAUAUAUAUAUAUAUAUAUAUAUAUAUAAUAGUUGUAUUAAUUAAUUUAAUAUAAAUGUAAUAUCAUUGUAGUGAAUCAUUUUUUUUUUUUUUUUCCAGAAAUUGUAUAUUAUUAUUUUUUUUUUUUUAAACAUUUAUUCAUUGUAUAUAAAUGUAAAAUAAACAUAACCAACUGUUUGUUUUUUAAUCA